rnacentral:rRNA from 1 species
GAUGAACGCUGGCGGCGUGCCUAAUACAUGCAAGUCGAGCGAACAGAUAAGGAGCUUGCUCCUUUGACGUUAGCGGCGGACGGGUGAGUAACACGUGGGUAACCUACCUAUAAGACUGGAAUAACUCCGGGAAACCGGGGCUAAUGCCGGAUAACAUUUAGAACCGCAUGGUUCUAAAGUGAAAGAUGGUUUUACUAUCACUUAUAGAUGGACCCGCGCCGUAUUAGCUAGUUGGUAAGGUAACGGCUUACCAAGGCAACGAUACGUAGCCGACCUGAGAGGGUGAUCGGCCACACUGGAACUGAGACACGGUCCAGACUCCUACGGGAGGCAGCAGUAGGGAAUCUUCCGCAAUGGGCGAAAGCCUGACGGAGCAACGCCGCGUGAGUGAUGAAGGUCUUCGGAUCGUAAAACUCUGUUAUUGGGGAAGAACAAAUGUGUAAGUAACUGUGCACGUCUUGACGGUACCUAAUCAGAAAGCCACGGCUAACUACGUG